rnacentral:rRNA from 1 species
UGAACGCUAGCGGGAGGCUUAACACAUGCAAGUCGAGGGGUAACAGGGGUAGCAAUACCUGCUGACGACCGGCGAACGGGUGAGUAACGCGUAUGCAACCUGCCUUCUACUGGAGGAUAGCUUUCGGAAACGGAAAUUAAUACUCCAUAAUGAUAUAUUUUGGCAUCACUAUAUAUUUAAAGCUCCGGCGGUAGAAGAUGGGCAUGCGUAACAUUAGCUAGUUGGUAAGGUAACGGCUUACCAAGGCAACGAUGUUUAGGGGACCUGAGAGGGUGAUCCCCCACACUGGUACUGAGACACGGACCAGACUCCUACGGGAGGCAGCAGUGAGGAAUAUUGGUCAAUGGGCGCAAGCCUGAACCAGCCAUCCCGCGUGCAGGAAGACGGCCCUAUGGGUUGUAAACUGCUUUUAUAAGGGAAGAAUAUUUUCGUCGUGACGAGACUUGACGGUACCUUAUGAAUAAGCAUCGGCUAACUCC